rnacentral:tRNA from 1 species
GGUCGGUUAGCUCAGUCGGUAGAGCGUCGUGCUGAUAACGCGAAGGUCGUGGGUUCGAGCCCCACACUGACCA